UUUGAUAAGAGUAACAGUUUAAUGGAGUUUGGAACUCUGGUGCCGACGCAGGACUUAACAUUCUGAGAGAGCUUCUGGUCGUUCGUUUUCACCACUGUUUGACAAUUGCGCUACACUUCGGUUGACCCUCUUUACCCAAAUUCCUUGUUGAAUUUCUCCAAACUGCGCCACAAAUAAAUGGCGCGUUUGUUUUCAGUCACCUUCCGCCUCAGCGCGGGUUCACGUCGAGGUCUCCUCCCGCUUAAUGUUUACUUUAUGAUCCCGGCUCACGCGGAGGGCAUUGCGCGUGCGUUACGCUCGCCCGCUUUAUUUCGUCGGUCUGGAGUAUGCAAAGCGACGCCGUCUACGGGUUCACCCGCAGCUUGAGAGGAUUUGCUCAAGUUUGUCGCUAAUCCCGCCGUUGACCUGAUUUUCUUGCUAACUGCUUCACUGCUACUUGCGCAAAGGUAGACCGAGGAGGCAGCCGACUGUUGCGUAUUCACGUACAAUAUUAGCAUACAUGCGAUGGCCUUUUUAAACGGUGCACGUUGGCAUAAAAAUGGAAUUGUAUGGCAUUGUCAUAAGCGUGACUAGUAUUGUAUCACAUUUUAGUAGUCAUGAAUCAUUGUAAUGGGUGUGAAUGAUUUUAUCAACUUAAUCGUAUUGCAGUUUUCAUCAUGAGCAUUUAUUUUUUUUAAAUUAAUGAACGUGCUUGAUGGUCGAGAGGAAGGUGCAGUUUUCUCUGUGAAGAAAGCAGAGAAAGAUGGCAAUCAGGCAGUGAGUCACUGGUGUGCCAGAACAUUUAUUUGGAAAAAAGAAAUAUGUAAUAUAUAUAUAUAUGGGGGAGACAGGUUUGAGUUCAGAAUGCAAUCAGGGGGUUUUGUGCCGCGAAGGCUGCUGUGACAGCCGUUUCCCGUUUGGCAUUCAUACGGCAGAUGAAAAGGACGACCUGAGCGAUUCAUUUGGGGGAAGGUUUCGGGAACAGAGGGCUCUGAAGGGAAACUCGUGUUUGCCGUCCGCCGGACGUCAAGGGGCUCACUGAUUGGACCUUAAGUGCUUUACAUGAUGCUAAUUGCACACCCGCUGCAAUUAGCUACCCGGGCCAAUUACAGGAAAGCGAAUUAACAGAAAUUAGCAUUCCUCCAGAUGUUGUAAAUGGGACCGACCGUAUUCUUUGUAUUCCGGGGAGAGGCAUCACGGGGCUUUAUCUUAAGUCAAACGUGAUGGAACACACGACCAUGGCGAUGGCAGCAAUGGAUCGUGCCACUGGAUGGUUGGAAAUAAGAGGAAGACGGUGCAGCAUCUGUCCAAUGCGGACUGGAAAGAGCAGCCGAGGAGACGGCGACGAGGCAAGAGUGAGUCAACGCGACGCGGCGUGGCAGGCGAUACGCUCUGAGGGGUCAGUUGGGGUUAAGUGGCUGCGAGUAGAAACCUCUGUGACUGUUCCGAGGACGAAGCGACGACGACCAGGAGGGGGUUAAACCAAAUUGGAAUUCCUGGGACUGGAUGCCGGAAUACCAGCGACCAGGGUGUACCUUCUGCCGACUGGUCCAGGGCGAUAGGAAAACGGUAAAGCCGUCCGGGAAAAAGAACACCAGUGACCGUCAGAUGACUGAUCCCGGGUGAUAGCAAAAGCAGUUACGCUGUAUGAAAAAGAACGCCCGGGAGCGAACGAAGGGAUACACACCCGGGACCAGUCGUCGGCUGGUCCUGGGGGUUAAUUCCGAAGACAAUUCCCGGGUGUGUAUUCCGCCGACUGGUCCCUGGUGUCAAUUCUGACGACCAAUCCCAGGCGUGUAUUCCAACGACCGGUCCCGGGCGUUUAAUCUGGCGGCUGCUCGCGGGCGUCCAAUCUGGCGACUGCUCCUGGGCAAUAGUUUCCGGGACCGCCUAACUGUUUUGCUAUCGCCCGACCAGUCCCGGGUGUCAAUUCCGACGCCCGAUCCCAGGCGUUUAAUCUGGCGACUGCUCCCGGGCGAUAGUUUCCGGGACCGCCUAACAGUUUUGCUAUCGCCUUACUUACUAUACAUGGUCGUUUUUGGCGAAAAAAAACGCCUCACUAUACAUGGUCAUUUUUUUCGCAAAAAAAACGCCUCAGUAUUAAAGGAAAUGAAAUGUAUAAAAGUGAAUCAACAAGGCGAUGUAUAUGCAAUACUGCUUAAUGUGUGAAAGUCUGUGGAUGAAAAGUUGCAGUGUGAGAAUGUGGCAAGAAAGUGAUUCCAGCAGAUAGCGCGCUAGAACGGAAUGUUCUCGACGGUUGGGUGGUGAUGACCACAAUCAGCAGGUGUGACGCGACGCGACGCUUGACCCAGGUGACGACGCUUGACCGAGAGGGAGACGGGAGCAACAAAACAUCAGCAACCGCAGGCGGGAGGAGUCGGCCCACCAUCCUGCAGACCAGAAAGACCGAUGAGAGAGCGCUAAGGAUAACUGCAGGAGACACGUAACCAAUAGUGAAUUAUUAGAUUGUACUUUUGAAUUGUCCUGGGCAACUCGGAUGUGGAGUACGUCGGCUGGUGGGAACAGAGACGUACAGGGUUGUAUUGAGAGGGACCCGAGACCCAGGUGUGUGUUGAAGGAAUAAAUCCACU